CCUACGGGUGGCAGCAGUGGGGAAUAUUGGACAAUGGGCGAAAGCCUGAUCCAGCGACGCCGCGUGGGUGAAGAAGGCCUGCGGGUUGUAAAGCCCUUUCGGUUGGGAAGAAAAGUAUUGACCUAACACGUCAGUACCUUGACGUAACCAACAAAAGAAGCACCGGCUAACUCUGUGCCAGCAGCCGCGGUAAUACAGAGGGUGCAAGCGUUAAUCGGAAUUACUGGGCGUAAAGCGCACGUAGGCGGCUUGAUAAGUCGAGUGUGAAAUUCCCGGGCUUAACCUGGGACCUGCAUUCGAAACUGUCUUGCUAGAGUAUGGGAGAGGGAAGUGGAAUUUCAGGUGUAGCGGUGAAAUGCGUAGAUAUCUGAAGGAACAUCAGUGGCGAAAGCGACUUCCUGGACCAAUACUGACGCUCAGGUGCGAAAGCGUGGGGAGCAAACAGGAUUAGAUACCCUAGUAGUC
rnacentral:rRNA from 1 species